CCUACGGGAGGCAGCAGUGGGGAAUCUUGCGCAAUGGGCGGAAGCCUGACGCAGCAACGCCGCGUGCGGGAAGAAGGCUCUAGGGUCGUAAACCGCUUUCAGCAGGGACGAAGCUUCCGAGGUUAAUAGCCUACGGGGUGACGGUACCUGCAAAAGAAGCCCCGGCUAACUACGUGCCAGCAGCCGCGGUAAUACGUAGGGGGCGAGCGUUGUCCGGAUUUAUUGGGCGUAAAGAGCGUGUAGGUGGCUUGGUAGGUCUCGCGUCAAAAGCUGCGGCUCAACCGCAGUCCGCGCGGGAAACCACCUCGCUAGAGUCCGGAAGAGGAGAGGGGAAUUCCAGGUGUAGCGGUGAAAUGCGCAGAUAUCUGGAAGAACACCAGUGGCGAAGGCGCCUCUCUGGGACGGUACUGACACUGAGACGCGAAAGCGUGGGGAGCGAACAGGAUUAGAUACCCUGGUAGUCCACGCCGUAAACGAUGGAUGCUAGGUGUGGGGGGUGUCGGACUCCCUCCGUGCCGAAGCUAACGCAUUAAGCAUCCCGCCUGGGGAGUACGGCCGCAAGGCUAAAACUCAAAGAUAGUCGCGNGNGAGAGCGACGACGACGACGACGGAGGAGG
rnacentral:rRNA from 1 species